AUAUUUUAAAUUUGGGACAUU
rnacentral:miRNA from 1 species